rnacentral:rRNA from 1 species
UACAGAGGGUGCGAGCGUUAAUCGGAAUUACUGGGCGUAAAGCGUGCGUAGACGGUUGCGUAAGUCAGAUGUGAAAGCCCCGGGCUCAAUCUGGGAAUUGCAUUUGAGACUGCGUAGCUAGGGUGCGGAAGAGGGAAGCGGAAUUUCCGGUGUAGCGGUGAAAUGCGUAGAUAUCGGAAGGAACACCAGUGGCGAAAGCGGCUUCCUGGUCCAGCACCGACGUCAGGCACGAAAGCGUGGGGAGCAAACAGG